rnacentral:rRNA from 1 species
GACGAACGCUGGCGGCGCGCCUAACACAUGCAAGUCGAACGAGCGAGAGAGAGCUUGCUUUCUCGAGCGAGUGGCGAACGGGUGAGUAACGCGUGAGGAACCUGCCUCAAAGAGGGGGACAACAGUUGGAAACGACUGCUAAUACCGCAUAAGCCCACGGCUCGGCAUCGAGCAGAGGGAAAAGGAGCAAUCCGCUUUGAGAUGGCCUCGCGUCCGAUUAGCUGGUUGGUGAGGUAACGGCCCACCAAGGCGACGAUCGGUAGCCGGACUGAGAGGUUGAACGGCCACAUUGGGACUGAGACACGGCCCAGACUCCUACGGGAGGCAGCAGUGGGGAAUAUUGCACAAUGGGGGAAACCCUGAUGCAGCGACGCCGCGUGGAGGAAGAAGGUCUUCGGAUUGUAAACUCCUGUUGUUGGGGAAGAUAAUGACGGUACCCAACAAGGAAGUGACGGCUAACUACGUGCCAGCAGCCGCGGUAAAACGUAGGUCACAAGCGUUGUCCGGAAUUACUGGGUGUAAAGGGAGCGCAGGCGGGAAGACAAGUUGGAAGUGAAAUCUAUGGGCUCAACCCAUAAACUGCUUUCAAAACUGUUUUUCUUGAGUAGUGCAGAGGUAGGCGGAAUUCCCGGUGUAGCGGUGGAAUGCGUAGAUAUCGGGAGGAACACCAGUGGCGAAGGCGGCCUACUGGGCACCAACUGACGCUGAGGCUCGAAAGUGUGGGUAGCAAACAGGAUUAGAUACCCUGGUAGUCCACACCGUAAACGAUGAUUACUAGGUGUUGGAGGAUUGACCCCUUCAGUGCCGCAGUUAACACAAUAAGUAAUCCACCUGGGGAGUACGACCGCAAGGUUGAAACUCAAAGGAAUUGACGGGGGCCCGCACAAGCAGUGGAGUAUGUGGUUUAAUUCGACGCAACGCGAAGAACCUUACCAAGUCUUGACAUCCUGCGACGGUGCUGGAAACAGUACUUUCCUUCGGGACGCAGAGACAGGUGGUGCAUGGUUGUCGUCAGCUCGCGUCGUGAGAUGUUGGGUUAAGUCCCGCAACGAGCGCAACCCUUAUGGUCAGUUACUACGCAAGAGGACUCUGGCCAGACUGCCGUUGACAAAACGGAGGAAGGUGGGGAUGACGUCAAAUCAUCAUGCCCUUUAUGACUUGGGCUACACACGUACUACAAUGGCGUUAAACAAAGAGAAGCAAGACCGCGAGGUGGAGCAAAACUCAGAAACAACGUCCCAGUUCGGACUGCAGGCUGCAACUCGCCUGCACGAAGUCGGAAUUGCUAGUAAUCGUGGAUCAGCAUGCCACGGUGAAUACGUUCCCGGGCCU